CCUGGAUCGCCAGUCAGGCUGCUCCAGCUGACCACAGCAGCCAGCCCGGGUGGGGUUUGACCAGAACGUCUCCCUGAGUCCCCUCUGGGCGGCGUGUGGCAAAUGACUUGGGCGUGCAGUUCUCCAGGCUAGAGGAUCAUCGAUUUUAAUGUUGGAAAGGACCUUGGAUAGCAGGAGACCUGGAGAAGUCAUAAAACCCUGGGAAAGAUCUGAUGGACUCAAGCUAUGGCCUCAACUCUGACUGUUGCUGCUGCUCUUGCUGCUACUGCUGCUGCUAGUGAGAGCCUAAAUGAAUUGAGUUUUCUCUGCAUGAUUGAACUAUGUUGUCUGGGGAAAAUGUCUGAUACAGGCAAGAUAGGUUCAACUGGGGAAACUCUGGACCAGGCCAGCCUAGAACCAAUUCCUGGUGAUAAAGCUGGAAUUGGAUUCACAUCAAGAAUGGAAAUUGAUUGGCUGCCCAACCCACUGUAUUUGAUCAGCCAUGGAGAACAUCCUCCUACCCCACCUGUCAAGAGCAGUCAGUGUUUUCUGUGAAUAAAAAUCAGCAGCAAGCAUAUUCAAAGGGACUCAGGAGGAAGGAAAACUCCAUUCUUCAUUCCCUCCCUCUUCCCGCCCCCAAGUUGCCAGACCUCUAGGUUGGAUUGGCAGUCAUGACGGGAAGCAAAAGGUACAAAUGGGCAUCCUUCACGCAGCAUUCAAAAUGGAACUCAAGCAUAUGCAAACAGCAUGUGAGCUCCAGCUCAAAGGUCCUAGCGAUUCCCAGGCUACAGAGUGAGAAAUAAGCUGGUGUUUCAGAAACCAUCUGGGAAAACUCUUAGAUUAAUUUGAAUUGAACCAAGCUGAGGCCCUCCACAUUUCUUCCCAAUGUGUUUGGAACAGAACAAUGACACGAUGGGAAGUUGGAUGUUUCCUUGUUGAGAUACCCAUGUGUCCUCGCCUAACAGCUGUCAUAAGUAUGUCCAGACCUCUCCUGAAAGCACGAUAAUUAACUGCCUUUUGCUUUGAAGUUUAUAGAAAGCAGCUUCCUACUGUGGGACAUUUACAGCUUCCACAACUGCCAUGUCAAAUGUGCCUUCUCUCAACCGCACCGACCCAGCUCAAGCCUUUAGAUGUUCGAGUCCCUCAAAGGUAUUCAAAUCCCUGCAGCUGCUGGGUGAUGUUUUCUCAAGACAGGUGUUUAAGAAAUAUAUAUGACUUUUUCAUUAGAUGCUUAAAUAAAAUUUCUAGGGACAUGGCCCUGAAUUCGAGCAUCUCUAGUUUUUUUUAUUUGCUGAGUUCAGAGGAAUCAAUUAUUAAGGAGGAGAAGAUGGUGUCAGUAAAUUGACAGUACUGCACAAGGUGUUGGAUCUUGGGCAUUAAUGAAUGCAAGCAUACCUUUCAUUUAUUUAUUUAUUUAUUUAUUGGUGGUUUUAAAAAAAGUUAAACAAGGACAAAGAAAGGUUACUUGUUUUUCCCUGAAGGAAUCCCAAAAUAAUUUUCAGAAAGGGAGAAUUCAAAAAGGAUCAAAUUUAGAUUUGAGGGCCAGAACACGAGUAAACCUAAAGUUAAAAUAAAUUCACCAAACCCCAGGGUUUGAAGGUUGGGAAGGAUGAAGCAUGAUGAGUGAAUGCCUUCUAUAAAUAUGCUAUAUAUAUUGCUAUAUAUACAUAUUUCUAUAUAUAUUUCCUGUGCCUGUUCGAUUUUUACCUAAUUACUAUAAUUAGUAUAGUAGGUAGUUUUGAAUUCUUGACCAUUACUAUUUGUGGAUUAUUUAUGGUGAAGUUAUAUCUGGGAAAAAGAAAAAAAAAGCAUUUUCAUAGGAAAACAUGCCAUAACAGAGGUUUAAUAAAGAUAUUUCUUUCUUUCUUUAAAUCUUUACAUUUUGUUUUAGAAUCAUUACUAAGUAUCAGUUCCAAGGCAGAAGAGUGGUUAGGGCUAGGCAAUUGGGAUUAAGUGACUUGUCCAGGGUCACACAGCUGGGAUGUGUCUAAGGCCACAUUUGAACCCAGGACCUCUCAUCAUUUGAUCUGGCUCUUUGAUUCACUGAGCUACCCUUAAUAAAAAUCUCUCAAUCCAUGAAUAGACCUUUAAAAUUGCAGUAAUUUGUGAAUUAUCCUUAAUUGCUAUGUCCUGUACUUAACCUCCCUCCAAAGAAACUAAGAACUAAAAUAGUUGUCUUUGUCUCUAACGGUACCUGUGCUUGUUUCCUUGUAUAAUGGGGACAAUGGGGUAAAAACAAUCUAUAGAAUUUUUAUGACAUGUGAUAAUCCUUGAUUUAUUUAUUCAUCAUUCAGCAAGUAUUUUUGAAGCACCUACUAUGUGCAAAAUGCAGGACCCUGGGGAAACAGGCAAAAAGAAAAGUACUUCCUACCCAACUUAUAUUUUAUUGGCAGAGGAGGGGAGAUGAUAUCAUUUAUAUAAAUAAAUAUGUACACAUACAUAUGUGUACAAAUACAUAUAUAAAACAUAGCAUCAUUGUGUAAUUUAUGAAAUUAGAGAUUUAAUGUAUUUGAAAAACUUACAUUUCAAGAAGAGACUGGGAUGGAUAUUAACCACAUUAUUAAUACCUAAUCAUUGCUAGGUUGUGAUGUUUGGUAAUGGGCUUAAUGAAAUGCCUGCCAGAUCAGAUCGAUUGCCCAUCGGAAAGAAUAAGCACAAUUGUUUUUAAGUGGGAAUUUUGAAUGUUAUAUGUUUUGCAGAAAUCUUUGCCACUUGGUGAAGCAAUAAAGUGUCAGAGCUGUUUUUCUUUUAAA